AAUUUUGACGUUACCGACAGAAUAAGCACCGGCUAACUCUGUGCCAGCAGCCGCGGUAAUACAGAGGUCCCAAGCGUUGUUCGGAUUCACUGGGCGUAAAGAGUGCGUAGGUGGCUAGGUAAGUUCGAUGUGAAAGCUCCGAGCUCAACUCGGAAAUUGCAUUGAAAACUGCUUGGCUAGAGGAUCGGAGGGGAGACUGGAAUUUUCGGUGUAGCAGUGAAAUGCGUAGAUAUCGAGAGGAACACCAGUGGCGAAGGCGAGUCUCUGGACGAAUCCUGACACUGAGGCACGAAAGCUAGGGUAGCAAACAGGAUUAGAUACCCUGG
rnacentral:rRNA from 1 species